rnacentral:lncRNA from 1 species
GAAAAGGGGUCAGGAUGGAGCCAGGCUAUCACAGCCCUCAGAACAUGGGCGUGUGGUGCCCCUAGCGUCUGAGCCUUCCCACCCGCAGGGUCUGUUUGGCUGAGGAAUCCAGAAAGGGUGGAAAAUGUUCCCCAGCCAAAGCCUCCAUCCAGUGCCAAGGGAACCUGAUCAGUGUUGGGAGCGGGAGUGGGGGAGGCGGGUGCUCCAGCCGGGCCAGGCUUCCUCCCACCUCCUCCUGCUGGGCCAGGCCAGCUUCCCGGCCCCAGACUCCACCCGGCAGGGGACCCCUUCAAGGCUGAGGGUGAGGCCUCUGAAGAGAAGGAAGAAGAGGGCAACUUGGGGGGCAGCUCUGUAUCCAGAGUGGUGACCAGAAAACCACCAUGGCCGGGGUGGGGGUCCUUGUUUUCAUUAGACUAAAAGGGAAACUGAGGCACAGAGUGUUAGGUCAGCCAGGGCAUCCACUGAGUUGCUUGCCCCGAUUGUGCACUCAACUCCCUAAAUCUCCCUUGGAGUUGUGCUCGCCCUCCUUGAACAAGUCCCCAGGCCCCGGCCCCGGCCCCGGGGAGCCUGGGACUUUGGUGCUCUCCAGCUCCCCCGCCACCUGAGUGCCUCAUACCGAGGUCUGUGCCACAGUUGCCUGGGUAUUUAUAGCUCACAGGCACUCGCUUCCUGGUAAGCCAGCAUAUUUGGGGGGAAUAAGGAGUCAAAAGCUUUCAGGGCAAAGUUCAUUAGGCUCAGGCUGAUGGUGCAGGGGUGGGCAGGGGCCCUCGUCCUAGCUCCUGUAUGAGUCCUUUCCCUGCCAGAGCUGGACAGUGGGGAAGGGGGCUCAAGACCCAGGCAGGGUCAGCCUCAGCCUCAGCCUCAGCUGCUGGGGGUUACCACCGCUGCGUUCCUGUCCCUUCCUCGACCUCGCAGUGGAGGGGUGGGGAGGGGCAUCUGAGCCCAGCAGCACACCCCCUGCAUGGCUGAGGGGUCAGGGCUCCUGCCUGAGGCUUCUGUCCUCCUUGUCCUCAACUCCCGUUGGCCCCUAGCUCCUCUCCUGAAUCCCCUGCCUGGAUCUGGCACUUUGGCCCACACUGGGAGGUUGGGAGCAGACCCAGGUGGGGUCUAAACAGAGAUAGAGGAUAAGUGUGAGGACUGGGCAAGGGGCCUCAAACCCAGAGGAGAAUAUGUAAGAGAGGCCUCUCAGGUCCUGGUCCUGGAGCUGCGGUGCCCAGGUAAAAGCAGCAUGUCCAAGGGCACCACCUGCUGGUGAGAGGGGCCCAGGUGUUCUGGUCCGAGGGAAUCAGGGUUUCUGGACAGACAGGGUUGAUCAUAAUAACCACAUCAAUAACGAUAGUGACUGCCACCACUCACAGGGCGCGGACUGCAUGCUUUACAUACAGCGUCUCACAUAAUGCUUGCAACAAUGCCAUAGGGCACCACCCCCAUUUUACAGCUGGAGAAACUGAGGCUCAGAGAGGACUUAGGGCUUGCUCCAGGUCACAGGAGAAUUUGAAGCCGGGUCUGUCUGAGCCCCAGCCCCGGCUCACCUUGCUAUCCUCAGGCUCUGAGAAAGUGUCGGUUUCCUCCUCGGUGGGCAUCUCCAGGUCGGACUCCUCGGAGGCGAUGGGCACCUGUAUGGUCAGGAUGUGAUUGUCCUUCUUCAGGUCCUCCUCGGGCGGCUCCUUCUUCUCAUCCUCGGGGGCAGUCUCCCCCGCCUCUCCAGCC